rnacentral:rRNA from 1 species
CCUACGGGAGGCAGCAGUGAGGAAUAUUGGUCAAUGGACGAGAGUCUGAACCAGCCAAGUAGCGUGAAGGAUGACUGCCCUAUGGGUUGUAAACUUCUUUUAUAAAGGAAUAAAACGAGGCACGUGUGCCUUGUGCAUGUACUUUAUGAAUCAGGAUCGGCUAACUCCGUGCCAGCAGCCGCGGUAAUACGGAGGAUCCGAGCGUUAUCCGGAUUUAUUGGGUUUAAAGGGAGUGUAGGCCGGUCUUUAAGCGUGCCGUGAAAGUUUGUGGCUCAACCAGGAGAGUGCGGCGCGAACUGGAGACCUGGAGUGCGCGGAAGGCAGGCGGAAUUCGUGGUGUAGCGGUGAAAUGCUUAGAUAUCACGAAGAACCCCGAUUGGGAAGGCAGCCUGCCGCAGCGUGACUGACGCUGAAGCUCGAAAGCGCGGGUAUCGAACAGGAUUAGAUACCCCUGUAGUC